rnacentral:rRNA from 1 species
ACUCAAAUGAAUUGACGGGGAUCCGCACAAGCGGUGGAACAUGUGGUUUAAUUCGACACUACGCGAGGAACCUUACCUGGGCUUGACAUGCUUUUGAUCGCCGUAGAGAUACGGUUUUCCAGGAUUUAUUCUGGACAAUUGCACAGGUGCUGCAUGGCUGUCGUCAGCUCGUGUCGUGAGAUGUUAGGUUAAGUCCUCUAACGAGCGCAACCCUUGCUACCAGUUGCUAUCUGCUUUGCAGAGCACUCUGGUGGGACUGCCCGGGAAACCGGGAGGAAGGUGGGGACGACGUCAAGUCAUCAUGGUCCUUAUGCCCAGGGCUACACACGUGUUACAAUGGCCAGUACAAAGGGUUGCGAAUCCGCAAGGUGGAGCUAAUCUCAUAAAGCUGGUCUAAGUUCGGAUUGAGGUCUGCAACUCGACCUCAUGAAGUUGAAAUCGCUAGUAAUCGCGUAUCAGCAACGACGCGGUGAAUACGUUCACGGAUCUUGUACACACCGCCCGU